GCCGGACGCGAGCUCCCCUGAGCCGGCCAGGCAGGUUGGGCUCCGCCUCGGCUCGGGCCCCGCCCGCGCUCCCCCGAGGGCGCGGGUUGGGGGGCGGGGGAGCGCAGGAGCGGCGCGGCUCCGCCACGGGCUGACGCACUGUCGGAAAGUUGCGCUCCGACCUUCUUCCACCUCGUACUUUCUUCCCAGGGCGCCGCUGUAGACUUGGAGCUGGGUGGGGAGGACCCGGGCCGAGGCGUGAGAGCGGCUGCCGGCCGGGGUGCAGAGCGGACUGUCCCGGUCCCGGCGAGGAGCCCGCUCCCCCUUCCUCGCGGUGCCCAGCGCGGUGGUGGCACAAACUUUCUGGACUGUUCCCGGACAGUUCUGGCGAGUCCCGCACCGGGCCGGGAGGAGGAGCCGCGGCCGCUGACAGAAGUCUAAAAUCAAGGUGUAGGUAAGCCCAUGCUCCCUCUGAGAUGCUAGGGGAGAAUUCUUACCUCUUCCAGGUUUGGAAGCUGUCCUUGGCUUGUGGCUGCAUCUCUCUGCACCGUCUCAUGGCCUUCUCCUCUUGAUAUGAUAUAUGCAGUUUGCUUUAAGACAAUCCAGCAGAGGAAAGGAGUGGGAAUGGAAGAUUAUAAAUAGCUAUACAUUGUUAAUUCUUGAGCCGAAUGAUGGCAGUUCCUCAUACUACUCUCUCAACUUUAUUUUGGAAGUGUUCUUCUGGGAGUCGCCAGCAGUGCCAAGUGUUGGAGAAAUCUUUUCUGCCCCUCUGAUAGAGUGAAGUGAGCAAACGCAACCUAGCAGAAGGCCUGUGAAGAGAGCACUCACAGCUCAAGUACUUGAGAAGGUCUAAAGACUUGCUGCCCACUCUGGAGAUUUGGGAAAAGGUGGUGUGAGUGGAACAGGUUCCCCUAAACAACUCAGUGCAAUCAUUUCAAGUUAUGCAGUAUCUUUAAAGUUUAAAAAGAUACUGUUUAUCCAGGAACGUUUUUAGGAAGUGAGGCCUGAGAAGAAUUACUCCUAUGGGUCCUUGUGAAGUGGGCACUGGGUGACAGGGAAAUCAGCAUGUUUUCAACAACAGCCUUGUGAUAGCUACAGUAAUAGUUUUCAUUUGGCUGAUACUUCUAAUGCCGCUCAGUUCAAGCCAAGUACAUGAUGCCAAGUACAUGAUGCCAAGUACUAAGAAUACAAUUUAGUAGAAGUGAUUCUUCCAGGAGAUAGCGCAGUGAAGUUGAAGUAUGAAGCUCUGAGACUUAGGGUUGAUUUAGAGGCAUAAUUUAAGCCACAGAAGUUAUUUUCUUUUUUAAAUUGAGGUGAAAUUCACACAACAUGCAGUUAACCAUUUUAAAAUGUACAGUUCAGUGGCAUUUAGAAUAUUUACAAUGUGGGCAAUUACCAUCUCUUUAUAGUUUCAAAAAAUUUUUUUAUCACUCCAGAAAACCUCAUACCCAUUAAGUAAUCACUCCCCAUUCCCUUCUUCUCCCCUUCCACUGGCAACCAUAAAUCUGCUUUCUGUUGUGGAUUUGCCUCUUCUGCCUAUUUCACAUAAAAACCAUACAAUAAGUAACUUUUUGUGUCUUGCUUCUUCUACUUAGCAAAAUGUUUUUGAAGUGCAUUCAAAUUACCAGUACUUCAUUCCUUCUCAUGGUUGAAUAAUCAUCAUUGUAUGAACAUAUCACAAUUUGUUCAUCCUUUCAUCUGUUGAUAGUCAUUUAGAUUGUUUAUAGCUUUUGGCUAUUGGGAAUCAUGCUGCUAUAAAGAUUUGUGAACAAGUAUUUAUUUGUUUUCAGUUCUUUUGGGUAUAUACCUAAUAGUGAAAUUGCUGGGUUAUAUGGUAAUUCCAUGUAUAACUUUUUGAGGAACCACAAGGUUUUUUCACAGUGGCUGUAUCAUUUAACAUUUCCAGUGGAAUAUAUGAGGAUUCCUAUUUCUCCAGAUCUUAUUUUCUUCUUUUUUUGUAAUUUAUUUAUUUAUUUUUAUUAUAACCAUCCUAGUGGGUAGAGAGUGGUAUCUCACUGUGGUUUCCAUUCGUAUUUCCUUGAUAACCAAUGAUGUUGGACAUCUUUCCCACAUGCUUGUUAGCCAGUUGAAUACCUACUUUGAAGAAAUGUCUAUUCAACAUUCUUUGCCCAUUUUACAAAAUUGGGUUAUUUUGUUGUUGAAAUGUAAGUGUUCUUUAUAUUUUCUGAAUAUGAAACCCUUAUCAGAAUGUUCAGUUCUCAAAAAAAAAAAAAAGUUACAAAGCAUACAAAGAAACAGGAAAGUCUGACCCAUUGAUAAAGAAGAAACUGGUAGGAGCCAUCCGUGAGGAAGCGCAGACAUUAGACUUAGUAGACAAAGACUGUACAUUAACUGCCUUAUAUAUGCUGAAAGACCUAAAGGAAACCAUGAAUAAACAACAAAAGGUAAUCAGGAGAAUAGUGUAUGAUCAAGUAGGGGGGAUAUCAAUACAGAGAUAGGAAUUGUAAAAAGGAACCAAAUAGAAAUUCUGGAGCUGAAAGUUACAAUAGCUGAAAUUAAAAACAAGCAAACAAGUAUAAAACUAAGGGGCUUCAACAGGAUAUUUGAGCAGGCAGAAGAAAGAAUCAACAAAUGGGAAGAUAGGAAAAUUGAAAUUACCCAGUCUGAGGAGUAGAAAGCAAAAAGAAUGAAGAAAAAGGAGCAGAGCCUAAGAGACCUAUAGGAUCCAUCAAGCUUAGCAAUGUAUGCACUAUGGGAGUCCCAGAAGGAUAAGAGAGAAAGAAAGGGGCAGAAAGAUUAUUUGAAGAAAUAAGACUGUAAUUUUUCCAAAUUUUAUGGAAAACAUUAAUAUACACAUCCAAGAAGCCUAAGAGUCUCGAAUUAGGAUAAAGCCAAAGACAUCCACACCUAGAUGCAUUAUAAUCAAACUGUUGACAGCCAAAGAGAGAACUUUGUAAGUAGCAAGAGAGAAUCAACUUGUCAUAUACAAGGGCUUCUCAGUAAGAUGAACUGCCAAUUUCUCAUCAAGACCAUGGAGGCCAGAUGGCACUGGGAUGAUAUAUUUAAAGUGCUGAAAGAAAAGAAUUGUCACCCAAGACUUCUAUGUUUGGCAAAACUGUCCUUCAAAAAUGAAGGGGAAAUGACAUUUUCAGAUAAAUGAAAGCUAAAAGAGUUCAUUGCUAAGACCUGCUUUGCAACAACUGCUAAAGAGAGUCCUUCAGGCUGAAACAAAAGGACACUAUACAGUAACUCAAAGCCAUAUGAAGAAAUAAAGAUCACUGGUAAAGAGUUCAGCUGUUCAAAAUUAUUGAUCAAGAAUAUAUCCAGCAUGUCAUCUGAGUGGGUGGCAGAUUGCUCUCCCUUUCUCAAAAUUUGUAAAAAGUCUGGGAAUCACACCUGAAUAGAUGGCCACCGCAUCUUUGCAUGAAAGAGGUCAGUGGUAGACUCCACUAGCUAACGAUAUGGCUGCUCUGGAUGUUUUUCUUUCAUUUUGGUAAUAACAGUCCCUUCCAUUUGGAGACUUCUUUCCCAUUUCAUGUGAUUUUGAUAAGGACAAUAAUUAUGUUGAUCUAUAACCUCCCUAUUCCCUACUUCCUAUUCCUAGCCACAGAAGUAAGCAUGUGAUUGAGGCCUAGUUAGUGAUCCUUGUCUCCUAGACUGCCCCAUCUUCUAGGCUACAGUGAUGUGUUCAGGGGAAGGCAUAGAUAUAAUCAGACAAAUGAGGACUUUUAUGAUACAGCUGAUGGGCAAGACAUUCAUGUUUUUGAGAUAUAAGUGCAGGACAGAUGAUAGCCUGGAGUUUAUUUACUGCGUCACCUGGAAGACACACAUGAGGUAGAGAGAGGGAGGCAAAGAGACACAGAUAAGCAGAGACUCAGGAAGGUGGGUGGUGGGCGAGAGCAAACGAGUUUCCUGACAGUAUUGAGUCUUGACUCCAGUUUUCUUCUUAGUGCUAUCCAUCUAAAUGAGCUAAUAUAUUUUUUGUUUUGCCUAAGCAGAUUUGAGUUGGGUUUCUGUCACCUGUAACUUCAAACAUACUGAUUAAUAAUAAUAUACUGUUUGAGGAAGUAUCUAAGGAUAGAGCCAUGCUUUUUAACAAAUGUUCACUUUAAUACAUUGCUCAAUGAACCACUGAGGCCCCAGUGUUCCACGCUGAAGGGCACACUCAUGUUAAAUCUAACCCAGCUUUGGAAAAGUUACUAAUUGCCAAUCAUGACCAUAGUGGGGGGAAAAAAAAUCUCACUUUGGAAAUGGCCACUGGCCAAUUUUAUUUAUUUUAAUUUUUUUAACAUCUUUAUUGGAGUAUAAUUGCUUUACAAUGGUGUGUUAGUUUCUGCUGUAUAACAAAGUGAAUCAGUUAUACAUAUACAUAUGUUCCCAUAUCUCUUCCCUCUUGCAUCUCCCUCCCUCCCACCCUUCCUAUCCCACCCCUCUAGGUGGUCACAAAGCACCAAGCUGAUCUCCCUGUGCCAUGUGGCUGCUUCCCACUAGCUAUCUAUUUUACAUUUGGUAGUGUAUAUAUGUCCAUCCCACUCUCUCAGUUUGUCCCAGCUUACCCUUCCCCCUCCCCAUAUCCUCAAGUCCAUUCUCUAGUAGGUCUGCAUCUUUAUGCAUGUCUUGUGGCCAAUUUUAAAUACCGUAGCUCAUUCCUGAUAAAUGUUUUAGAAUAAGUGAGUUGCAAAGAUUUUCCCUAAGAGAUCUUAUUCCAGUUAAAUGUGGGAAGAUAUAUACUUUAAAAAUAUUGGGGGAGAAGCACUGAACUAAACAGAAUAGUCUUAGAAUAGUUGAUCUUGAGUUGCUUUGGGUGAGGCUAAUUUGAUAUCAGAAGUUGUGUCUUUCAUCUGUUCACAGUUUGUAAAAACAUAACCGUAUGACCAGUAUGGAGAGUACUUACCUUUAGGUUCUCUAGAGUUGGGAGUCAUGCACCCAGGGGACAUUCUUAUUGUUUUGCCUUCAAAGCAAACCUGAAUAGAUUUCUAAUUAGUAAGGACAGGGGAUGGGAACUGAAUUGAUUGGAAAUCUGAGGACAAAGGGUGUGAGGUUAGGAUCUGCCCAAAAGGUAGUCCGUGUUGUGGGGAAAGUCAGGUGUUGUCACAAUAAGACAGUUAGGCCUUUGGAACAUAGUGUGUCCUGAUACACUUGGGGAGAAGCACUGAACUAAAUGGAGCCUGGAAACAUUAAUGAUGGUAGUAGAAUCUAGCAUUUUUCUAUCGGUGGGAUUGCAGUAGGCUUCUAACGUUUAUUUCCUCAAAGACAAAUAAGGGACAUGUAUAGAGAAACAAAAUGGGCACAGUCCAAUUUCAGAACAAGGAUUUGAAGGGAAUGGAGUAAAACAAAUAUUUCAGUGUAGCAGUCAUUUAAAUUCUUUAACUGUAUUGAGCACAUGGGCUGAUUCCAUCCUUGUAAUAACUGCAGGAGACAGGGAAGUGACACAACUCCAGCACUGCCCAGUAUGCACCCAGUACAGUGUGUUUUUAGUUGUCCUAGUGUGCUGUGACUGACAGCAAAACUGUGUGUUGUUCAAGGCCAUUGACAAUAAACUGAGUGGCCACACAAAAAAUCUUCUUUUGUACUUAAUGGUUACCUAGCACUGAAUAAUUUGGGGUUUCUAAAAAUGUAAAACAGUUUAAUAAACUUCUGAACUCUGGACCAUCUGCAAACUAAUUUCAUUUACCAAGAGCUAGAUAUUGAGAACAUGAGUAGUCAAACUUGAAGAAGCUUUCUUAAUAAAGUGGGGCAGAUUAUGCGAUACCCAAGAGACUGAUAGUCUGCCAAGAUUUGGUCAGUGACUUUUAUUUAAAGGUGUUUUACCAUAUGACUUUCUCAGAAAGUCAAUGAUCAGGUCUCAGAUUCUAGCCCAUUUGCAUUACUAAAUCACGUUCUUGAACUAGGGAAGGUACAACCUGUAUUUUGGGGGUAGAAUUCGAAUGGGGUUAUGGGAAAUGGGGGAAAAGGACUGACCUGGGCGGUGAAUAGGUAGAGAGGGGUGACUUUUUGGACAGGAUAGUUAAUAAAAUAUUUACCGUGACUGUAGGGCUCUACUGAGUUUUCUAUGACAUUGGCCAAGGAAGUAUUUCCACUAAAUUAAAAAAAGACAAACCUUCAGAGUGCUGAAUUUCAGAACAUAAAAUAUGAAGCUAGUUAUGCAAUAUGGAAGAGAUUUAGAGCUGUGAUAGUUAUUUCUUAAAUUUAUUUACAAACCAACUUUGUUACCUGGGACAGAGGACAUAUCCCUCCACUUCUCUAAAAGAGAAAUCAAAUAUGACAUCCAUGGCAAAAAUGAGACUUUCAUAAUCUCCAACAGGAAGUACUUGUUUCUAACUGAGAUUUCCUAUACCGAGAGGAGCACUGCUUAAUUCAGUGCCUUGUACCACUGUCUUUGUUUAUGCCGUGAUAGCUGUAUCUCAUUUUUAAAAGGAAGGUAGUAAGGAGUGAGAUAGAAACUAGAAAACGAGAAGCAAAAAGUUUUUUUAAAAAAGUUAAAACACGUUAAGUAUUAUUUUUAACCCAAAUUCUCCACUUAUUGCUCCCUUCUAGUCAAUAUCUGUAUUCUUUAAUAUUUGAUAAUUAAGGGGUUAUCUAAUGUAUUUUUAUUUUCAUAUCAUUAUACAUUGUUACAUGGCAUGGCAGAUGAUCUUAGAUCCAUGUUAUAUUUUGUAGGAAAUGUUUUCUUGGACUAUUAAAUGAACAGGGGGCAUCUGUGAUCUUUUUAUUGUUUAUUUUCAAAGCUAUAAAGACCUAGAGAAAAGGCCCCCUUGUUCUCUCCAUCCCUCCCCCACCCCACAUAAAUUUAAACACCUUGAGAACCACAGUUUAAUCUGAAAGAGGAAUAGAGAUGAUCAGGAAAAGGAUGGUGUGGGAUAGUGCUUACCAGAGAGAUCGUGUUAUAUAUUAUUUAAACAGUGAAGGCAAAUGUUGCUUCUGGAAGCAGAAGCAGUACUGAAAUUAGAGUCUCUUUCCUGAGGCGUUUUGAGUCUGAAAGAUUCAGGAGGAGAAGACAGAGAAUAUAGAAUGAAAACCGAAGGGGCCGUUUCAGGGAGAAGACAAGAGGAGGUACCAGAGGAAGGCUGAGCAGUCAGGCAGGCCUUAACAGGCAGGGUUAUGAACAGGUUUGGAAGAGGCACAGAGAGGCAACUAGGAAGAGAGAGUAGGGGUUAUAUAACAGGAUUGCAUAAUUUUACGUGGCUUUGUGCUUUUGAGUAACUCAGUUUUUAUUUAAUCUUUGACUGUCUCAGAAGGUGCAACAUUUACCGUGAAAAACAUCCUCUUGGGAACUUAAGAUCUAGGAAAGACCAAGGCAGGCAGAGACUGCCCCAGACUGCCUCUGGGGACCUGCUUUCCUGCACAGUAUGGUAACAUUAAGUGUGCUGAGGUCUAAUCACUGGCCAGCAUUGUCUCCUUAGGUUGCUGGCUCAGGAGUUGUUAGCCUUUUGCCUUGGGUGGGAUCUGGCCCAUCUGAAGGCUCCUCAUCAGAGCACAGGAACCGAAAAUAAAGUGAAGGACUGUGACCCCAGCUGGAGCUACGGGUGGAAGGAUGAGGGGUGAGAUAGAGAGGGCCAUCUUCUACUUGCCCUCUAGGUUAACAGCAGCACGCCACUGAUCCAUGGUCAUUGGUUGAACCAAAACAUCAGCUGUGUACUUGCAUAGAAAGGCUCUCAGGAUCAAGGUUUGACCUUAUUAUUGUUGCAAAGCUUAGAAUUUUGGGGCUAGGGAGUUCCCUGAUGGCCUAGUGGUUAGGAUUCUGGGCUUUCACUGCCAUGGCCUGGGUUCAGUCUCUGGUCAGGGAACUGAGGAACUGAGAGCCCACAAGCUGCAUGGUGUGGCCAAAAAAAAAAGAAAGAA